rnacentral:rRNA from 1 species
AACGAACGUUAGCGGCGCGCCUAAGACAUGCAAGUCGAGCGAGAAAGGGAUUCGUCCCCGGUAAAGCGGCGCACGGGUGAGUAACACGUAGGUCAUCAACCCUCGAGUGGUGGAUAACUCUCCGAAAGGAGAGCUAAUACAGCAUGAUGCUAGCAAUAGCCAAAGCGGGCCUCUUCAUGAAAGCUCGCGCUAGAGGAUGAGCCUGCGGCCCAUCAGGUAGUUGGCGGAGUAACAGCCCACCAAGCCAAGGACGGGUAGCUGGUCUGAGAGGAGGAACAGCCACACUAGAACUGAGACACGGUCCAGACUCCUACGGGAGGCAGCAGUCGGGAAUCUUCCGCAAUGGGCGAAAGCCUGACGGAGCGACGCCGCGUGAGUGAUGAAGGCCUUCGGGUUGUAAAGCUCUGUGGGGAGAGAAGAAUAAGUGCAGGCUAAUACUCUGCAUGAUGACGGUAUCUCCUUAGCAAGCACCGGCUAACUCUGUGCCAGCCGCCGCCGUAA